AACGAACGCUGGCGGCAGGCUUAACACAUGCAAGUCGAACGCAUCGCAAGAUGAGUGGCAGACGGGUGAGUAACGCGUGGGAAUCUACCCAGUUCUACGGAACAACAGUUGGAAACGACUGCUAAUACCGUAUACGCCCUACGGGGGAAAGAUUUAUCGGAAUUGGAUGAGCCCGCGUAAGAUUAGCUAGUUGGUGGGGUAAUGGCCUACCAAGGCGACGAUCUUUAGCUGGUCUGAGAGGAUGAUCAGCCACACUGGGACUGAGACACGGCCCAGACUCCUACGGGAGGCAGCAGUGGGGAAUAUUGGACAAUGGGCGCAAGCCUGAUCCAGCCAUGCCGCGUGAGUGAUGAAGGCCUUAGGGUUGUAAAGCUCUUUCACCGAUGAAGAUAAUGACGGUAGUCGGAGAAGAAGCCCCGGCUAACUUCGUGCCAGCCGCCGCAGUAACAC
rnacentral:rRNA from 1 species